AGAGAUUAUCUGUAGACAUGAACAAGGAGAAAUACUUAGCUUUUCCUGAAACUUAAGGCCUAAUACAAUAAAAAUGGAUACUCUGAACGGAUUCCAGUUACCACUGAACAGUUGUUGAACUUCUGUCUGAACCAUUGAUUGUUUGGGAUGUUAGGAAGAACUUCUUUACCGAAAGGGUUGUUAGACACCGGAACAGGCUGCCCAGGGAAGUGGUGGAGUCACCAUCCCUGGAAGUCUUUAAAAGAUGUUUAGAUGUAGAGCUUAGGGAUAUGGUUUAGUGGGGACUGUUAGUGUUAGGUCAGAGGUUGGACUCGAUGAUCUUGAGGUCUCUUCCAACCUAGAAAUUCUGUGAUUCUGUGAUUCUGUUUAUAUACCAUGUUUUAUCUCCAACCUGGUGUUGCUUUUGUUUGCUGCUUUACAUAACAAGCUGAAACAGGUUCCUCCCACAUCGGAGCAUUUAGAAGAUGGGUCCCAUCUAAUAGCACCACUUCACUAUAAACUGGGGUUGCUGAAAACUUCUUUCUCUUUCAGAGAGGCUUAUUCUCCUGAUAUUGCUCAAAUCUUCUGGCCCUGUGGAGUCACAAGGAAGGCUGACUCAUUUGUGGCAGGCCGGGCUGUUUCCUUGCUGAAUAUGUGACAACAUAGACCCCUCCAUGGCUGCAUACAAAGUAGCCAUCACGAGUGUUUUGGAGACAGAGAGCCAGGCAGCCCCUGAAGCAGGACAGCAGACCAAGGAGGGUGCAGACUGGGAGAUGUCUGUGCCCUGGGGUGCCUGGAGAGAUGCACCUAGAGGAAACUUUGCAGACCAACUGAAAAAGAGGUGCAGAACAACCUUCAUUUCUCCUUACCCUGGCAAGGACUGGAGUUUGACAGCAUACUGAUGAAAAAAAGACAUUAUGUGAAUGGCAGAAAAGACAUACAGUAGCAAGGUGAUCCUACUACAUAUGGAUAUGUACAGAGAGAUAUCUCAGAACAUCUUCAUUUAAUUUUCUCUUCUGCAAAAGAGAUGGAACAAGGAGGUUUUCAUUUCAAGAUAAAUGCUAAUUGACACUCUGCCUCCCAGGAAAAUAUCACAUGAAGAAAAUGCAGCCUUCCCUGCAGAACAGAGAAGACUGCAAAAUGCUGUUCUGAAUUCCUGAGCUUCAUGGCAUCGAGUUUUAAAUUUUCAUGUCUCCAGGUUUUCAAUAUUUACUUUCAUUUCCUUAUCAAGUUAUAAAAAGGAUGAUGAUUUCAUUGCUUGUGACUUAUUCUUGGGACUUUGGAAGUACCAGUAUCAGUCACUAGUAUUAUUAAAAAACAGUACAGACCCCUGUAUCAGGGAAGGAAAAAUCCAAACAUGGACAGAUUUGUUUCUUUCCUCUUGGUGUGAAAAUGAUAGUACUCCCUAACACAACCCAAAUAGUGAAGAACGAUACUCAUUCAAUUGUGUUUCAACAUUAUAUUCUGCUUUACUUUAUAGAAUAUUUGGAAAAAUUCAGAAUUUUUUUUUCCCAAAAAGAUACUGAAGGGAAUUUCUUAUUCUUCUAAUCUUAAUUAAACAUUGAUAUGUGUAAAAUGUUUUGUGGCUACACGUUCCUUCAAGCUUCCACUUCAAGAUGAAAUGUUUGUUUAAUGUUUUCCACAAAAUGCACACCUCAAGAUUUCAUAGAUACCAGAAUUCUGAAAUUCUAAGUUAUUAUACACAUUGGAAAUGUAAGGAUAUCACACCUGUGCUUUCAUUCUGAACUGUUUCUGAUUCUGUUGAAGGAUUAUUUUGUCAUGUUGACUGGAUCUUUCCAGCUAUGUCUACCAUUUAUUGAACUAUUAAUAUAAUCCACAUGGAAUGUUACAUGAGGCAGCAAUCCUGCAGCUAGGAUUGUAGGCAAUCAUGUAAUUAAAGAUUGUAUCAUGAUACAUCAGCACAGGGAGGCCAAUUUAAUAAGAACAAGAACAAUCUGAAGUCUGGCACUUUCUUUGUUUAGGACUUGCCUUUACAAAUGUCUAAUGAACUAAUCUGAUCUGAUAAUUGCAUGUCUUUUUUGUACUAGAGGAUAUAGUCAGAAGAUACAUUUCUAGAAUAAUUGAAGCAUAAUACCUUUAGCAAAAGAAAAAAAGAGCUCAAAUUCUAGUUCAUCACUUUUCUUAAAGUAUUUCUUCUGCUCAAUAUUUGGCCUUCAUAUUUACUGGUGUGGAAAGUAGGAUUUGAUAGGCUGGAUGGUUUUAUUUGGCAGAGGAAGAAGUUUGUUGUUUACAUUUGCUUAGCUGGUAGAACAGCAUGCUCAGGUGUUUCCUAGUAACUUAAACAGCUACCCCUAAUACUUUUAAAAUAAAAUUAAAAAUAUGAAAUGCA
rnacentral:lncRNA from 1 species